rnacentral:rRNA from 1 species
UACGGGGGGGGCAAGCGUUGUUCGGAAUUACUGGGCGUAAAGGGCUCGUAGGCGGCCAACUAAGUCAGACGUGAAAUCCCUCGGCUUAACCCGGGAACUGCGUCCGAUACUGGCAGGCUUGAAUCCGGGAGAGGGAUGUGGAAUUCCAGGUGUAGCGGUGAAAAGCGUAGAUAUCUGGAGGAACACCGGUGGCGAAGGCGGCAUCCUGGACCGGCAUUGACGCUGAGGCGCGAAAGCCAGGGGAGCAAACGGG